AUGGCCAUCCUCGAAGAAUUCUUUGUUGGAUCUAUUGACCUGGGGCGCCUCAACUACGGGAUCAUCUCUCUCAUUCCCAAGGUCCCUGGGGCGUCCGACAUCCGCCAGUUCCGGCCGAUCACGGUCAUUAAUGUGAUCUUCCGGAUUCUGGCCAAAGGGUACGCCAAUAGGGUGACCCUGCUUGCCGACCGGAUUACCCACCCUAACCAGUCGGCCUUCAUUAAAGGCCGAUAUAUCCUUGAUGGAGUCCUGGUCCUCCACGAGGUCCUUCACGAGGUCCGGACCAAGCGCCUUAGGGCAGUCUUUCUGAAGAUCGAUUUCCACAAAGCCUACGACUCUGUUAGCUGGACCUUCCUCAGGGAAGUCCUUCUUCGGAAGGGCUUCGAUGACCGAUGGAUCACUAGAGUCAUGCAAAUGGUCUCUUGCGGUCGCACGGCGGUCAACAUCAACGACGAGAUUGGUCCUUUCUUCCCUACCCUUUGUGGGGUUCGCCAAGGCCGCUGGCCACAUCCCUGGGAUUACCCCACACCUUUCUGGGGGCUCAGGGAUAUCCAUCCUUCAGUCUGCUGA
rnacentral:rRNA from 1 species